rnacentral:tRNA from 1 species
GUCUCGGUGGUCUAACGGAUACGACUGGGGAUUCCGGUUCCUCCGAUGCGGGUUCGACUCCUGCCCGGGACGCCA